rfam:Alligator mississippiensis ScZkoYb_636, whole genome shotgun sequence.
GAGCAAGCCUUCCAGCGUGGCCGGGUCUGGCGUGACCCCGCUCGUUCCUGCAGCGCUUGCUAAAGCAACCUUGAGACGGUUUGAGGCCUUGCUCCGCGCCGCUCGCUCGCUCGCUCGCUGGUUUGGAGCAAGGUUAUAGACAUUUCAGACAUGC